AACGAACGCUGGCGGCAUGCCUAACACAUGCAAGUCGAACGAGACCUUCGGGUCUAGUGGCGCACGGGUGCGUAACGCGUGGGAACCUGCCCUUAGGUUCGGAAUAACUCCCCGAAAGGGGUGCUAAUACCGGAUAAUGUCUUCGGACCAAAGAUUUAUCGCCUUUGGAUGGGCCCGCGUUGGAUUAGCUAGUUAGUAGGGUAAAAGCCUACCAAGGCGACGAUCCAUAUCUGGUCUGAGAGGAUGAUCAGCCACACUGGGACUGAGACACGGCCCAGACUGCUACGGGAGGCAGCAGUGGGGAAUAGUGGACAAUGGGCGAAAGCCUGAUCCAGCAAUGCCGCGUGAGUGAUGAAGGCCUUAGGGUUGUAAAGCUCUUUUACACGGGAUGAUAAUGACAGUACCGGGAGAAUAAGCUCCGGCUAACUCCGUG
rnacentral:rRNA from 1 species